AGAGUUUGAUCCUGGCUCAGGAUGAACGCUAGCUACAGGCUUAACACAUGCAAGUCGCGGGGUAACAUCUGGUAGAGCUUGCUCUUCCAGGAUGACGACCGGCGCACGGGUGAGUAACGCGUAUCCAACCUGGCCCAUACCACGGGAUAGCCCGUCGAAAGGCGGAUUAAUACCGUAUGCUGUCAUUAAGAGGCAUUUUUUGAUGACGAAAGGAUUGGCGGUAUGGGAUGGGGAUGCGUCUGAUUAGCUUGUUGGCGGGGUAACGGCCCACCAAGGCGACGAUCAGUAGGGGUUCUGAGAGGAAGGUCCCCCACAUUGGAACUGAGACACGGUCCAAACUCCUACGGGAGGCAGCAGUGAGGAAUAUUGGUCAAUGGGCGUAAGCCUGAACCAGCCAAGUAGCGUGAGGGAUGACUGCCCUACGGGUUGUAAACCUCUUUUGUUUGGGAAUAAAGUGCGGGACGUGUCCCGCAUUGCAUGUACCAUUUGAAUAAGGACCGGCUAAUUCCGUGCCAGCAGCCGCGGUAAUACGGAAGGUCCGGGCGUUAUCCGGAUUUAUUGGGUUUAAAGGGAGCGCAGGCCGUGGGUUAAGCGUGUCGUGAAAUUCCGUCGCUCAACGGCGGACGUGCGGCGCGAACUGGUCCACUUGAGUACGCGGGACGUUGGCGGAAUUCGUGGUGUAGCGGUGAAAUGCUUAGAUAUCACGAAGAACUCCGAUUGCGAAGGCAGCUGACGGUAGCGCAACUGACGCUGAGGCUCGAAAGUGCGGGUAUCGAACAGGAUUAGAUACCCUGGUAGUCCGCACGGUAAACGAUGGAUGCCCGCUAUUCGCCCACCUGGGCGAGUGGCCAAGCGAAAGCGUUAAGCAUCCCACCUGGGGAGUACGCCGGCAACGGUGAAACUCAAAGGAAUUGACGGGGGCCCGCACAAGCGGAGGAACAUGUGGUUUAA
rnacentral:rRNA from 1 species